rnacentral:ncRNA from 1 species
AACCCAGUUUCGGGGACCUUGGUACAGGCAGGCCGGGGAUUCCCCUCUUUCUUUGGGAGCCUCGGUACAGGCAGGCCGGGAACUCCCUUCUUUCUUCGGGGACUCUGAUACAGGCAGAUCAGAUACUCCCCAUUUUCUUCGGGGGCCUUGGUACAGGCAGGCCGGGUGUCCCCCUCUUUUAUCCGCUACUG